UGGGGAAUAUUGCACAAUGGGGGAAACCCUGAUGCAGCGACGCCGCGUGAACGAAUAAGGUAUUCGUAUCGUAAAGUUCUGUCCUAUGUGAAGAUAAUGACAGUACCAUAGAAGAAAGCUCCGGCUAAAUACGUGCCAGCAGCCGCGGUAAUACGUAUGGAGCGAGCGUUGUCCGGAAUUAUUGGGCGUAAAGGGUACGCAGGCGGUUUAAUAAGUCGAAUGUUAAAGAUCGGGGCUCAACCCCGUAAAGCAUUGGAAACUGAUAAACUUGAGUAGUGGAGAGGAAAGUGGAAUUCCUAGUGUAGUGGUGAAAUACGUAGAUAUUAGGAGGAAUACCAGUAGCGAAGGCGACUUGCUGGACACAAACUGACGCUGAGGUACGAAAGCGUGGGGAGCAAACAGG
rnacentral:rRNA from 1 species